UCCCUGAAGUUGUAGUCCGACGUGGCAAAUGGUGUGAUGAGCUGGAACGACACGUCAGACCGCUUAAUCAGCAACAUUAGGGCAAAUCACUGGAGCGGCCGGGUCCGUACCUUUUGCUUCAUAUGCUUCUCCGCCUCGUGCACAUCCCCCUCUCUAUCUCUCUUUGUCUCCUGCUUCUUGUCUUGCGGCUGUGCUUCAAGGAUUCGUCUGUGAAUCAUGAGGGCCAAGUGGAAGAAGAAACGUAUGAGGCGCCUGAAACGUAAGCGCCGAAAGAUGAGGCAGAGAUCCAAGUAGGCGUAUGGUUGUCUGGCUACUGUGCUAGAGGCAGGAAAUCAUUAAUUAUCGGUGCCAGUCGGGCGGAUUGGCUAGAUUUUCUAGAGCUUAGAGAUUGUGAAUCUUGGCACGGUUCUUUCGAAGACAGCUGUAGCAAUGGGUUAUAGCUCUGCAAGCUUGAGCACUGUCCAUGCGGAUAGCUACAUCUUGUAAUCGAAUGUGAAUUUCGUCUAUUUUGAGAGGAUA